rnacentral:rRNA from 1 species
UACGAAGGGGGCUGGCGUUGCUCGGAAUCACUGGGCGUAAAGGGUGCGUAGGCGGGGCUUUAAGUCAGGGGUGAAAUCCUGGAGCUCAACUCCAGAACUGCCUUUGAUACUGAGGAUCUUGAGUUCGGGAGAGGUGAGUGGAACUGCGAGUGUAGAGGUGAAAUUCGUAGAUAUUCGCAAGAACACCAGUGGCGAAGGCGGCUCACUGGCCCGAUACUGACGCUGAGGCACGAAAGCGUGGGGAGCAAACAGG